CGGACGUGGGUAACCUGCCUCAUACAGGGGGAUAACAGUUAGAAAUGACUGCUAAUACCGCAUAAGCGCACAGCAUUGCAUGAUGCCGUGUGAAAAACUCUGGUGGUAUGAGAUGGACCCGCGUCUGAUUAGCUAGUUGGUGAGGUAACGGCCCACCAAGGCGACGAUCAGUAGCCGACCUGAGAGGGUGACCGGCCACAUUGGGACUGAGACACGGCCCAA
rnacentral:rRNA from 1 species